CAAAGGCACUUAGAAUUCCAUUAUGACGUCACAGAGUGACGUCAUCAUUUUAAAAAUGUAUUUAAUUCGGGGGUUUCAAACUCGCGGCCCGCGGGCCAAUUGCGGCCCGCUGGACGAUAUUUUGUGCCUCCCUACUUGACAUCAAAGUUUGGUGUUAGUGCGGUCCAGUUGUUGCGCGGGCCGCGCUUAGGGUAGGUCAGAUGGGCGGAUUUACAAUCUAUUUAGCGGGCAACAAUGGGUUUGUGCGGGUGGAUAAAAAUUGGGCUGGUUUCGGAUCAGUUCGGCGUGUUUUUGUAGCCGAAACACUUCAGAUCCUUCUUCCACACACACACUACAGCUCUGGCUGACGUGCCCCCUAAAACUCACCACAGACACUCACAGAGACCCGUUAUUACCGGACUGGACAGCAGCGGAGAGAUUUCUUAGGUUAUAAGUCAAUAAUCAGUAAGGGUGACGAUAGGGCGCUUUAUAUCCAACACGAUCAGGUGGGCCGGUCCGGUCCGCUAUGUUUUUUGUUUAUUUUCUCUCUCUCUCUCUCUUUCUCUCUAAAUUCCCUCCAAAUGGGCUGGCCAAUUGGCUACAGAGGGCUAGUAGUGUGUAGCCAGCAUCGACACAUAUUAUUGGUCUAUGUUUGUCACUGUCAAUCAAUCAUGGGCUGACAGGCUGAGAGAGCCCUGACAGUGCUGUCAAUCACAACACAAACCAGGGUGGGCGGGACCUCAUGGCAUUGGCCGGAGUCGCGGGACGGGCUGCCGCUGAGUUUAAAAUGGAUAAGCGCAAGAAACGCGCGGGUGGCGCUGAAAAACUGCGGUUAAAAAAGCUAAAGUCUCUGGAAGUGGAAGCUGCUAAAUGUUCAAAACUGACAGACCUAGUGGUCACCACCCCAGCAGGUGCUGCUGCGCCGGGAGAGAGCGAGUGGAGGCGUACAUGACUGUUUUUUUUGUAGAGCUUCAUCUGGAUCCAGAGUUGUCGCCGUCCGCCAUCUCAUCUGCUGUCUCAUCCACAUCUUCACUCCGUUGCCAUCCCACCUUCACCCCGGGAAACAUCUUCAUCUUCCUUCAACCCACUCCUCCAUAACCAUCACCUUGAACAAUCUUGUUGGACACUUGUUGUAAAAGAGAGUGAGCUUCAUCUGGAUCCAGAGUUGUCGCCGUCCACCAUCUCAUCUGCUGUGUCAUCCACAUCUUUACUCCGUUGCCAUCCCACCUUCACCUCGGGAAACAUCUUCAUCUUCCUUCAACCCACUCCAUAACCAUCACCUUGGACAAUCUUGUUGGACACUUGUUGUAAAAGAGAGUGGUAGGACUUUUGAGUGCACUCAUUUUAUUUUCCCUUCUUUUUAUUUAUUUUUUCCUUAUUCAUCUUGUUUCAUUCAUUUGAACUUUGAACCUGAAACAUUUCGUGAGAUCUCACAGGGGUUAUCUGACCUGUUUUUUUUUUUUUGGUUAUUGGUAAAUUUUGAAAAUUGUUGUUACCAGUUCAUUGCUUGUUCCAUAUACUACUGACAGGUAGCUGAUAACUGGUCAUAUCUUUCUGUAUUUCUGUCAUUUAUUUUCACAUGCUUAAGGUCAAAUUUAUAUAAUGUGAUAUCCUGGUUUUAGAGGGUCUUAUUGAAAAUCAUAUCUUCUUAUUUUUUUUCCACGACCUGUUCGUUGUUGUGUGUUAUUUGGGGUGGAUGUUUGUUUACUUAAACAGUCAAACAAAUAGAUUAUAGCCAAUCUCCUCAUCAAAUCUACCGUAUUUUCCGGACUAUAAGCCGCUACUUUUUCCCACGCUUUGAACCAUGCAGCUUUACAAAGAUGCAGCUUUUGUAUUGAUU